rnacentral:lncRNA from 1 species
AGAAAAAGCUAUAAAUUGCUUUUCAUUGCUGGGAAAAAUCAUGUAUCUGUUUGAGUAUACAGGCAUCUUCAGAGGGCUGUUUGUGAUUGUAGCAUUUUUUAGACUCAAUAGAGCCACAUAAUAAAGCAAACUUUCUCUAAGCAUUUGAGUGUCCUCUCUCUCUAGUUUUAAGUACACAGAUGAAGAUAAAGAUACACUGAAGAGGAAAACAUUUCUCCCAGAGAAGCAGAACAGAGCGUGAAGUGCUAAAGACCCAGAAAAAGGAUAAUGAUAAGAAUUUCAGGAUUAUUUAUUUAUUACUUGAGAGAGAGAGAAAGAGAGAAAGAGAAUGAGCAGGGAGGAGAGGG